rnacentral:lncRNA from 1 species
AUGGGAAAAACCAUCACCUGGGGCCAGACCGAGGGACUCGAGGAGGCUCCGCUACCAGAGAGGAAAAGACAAACAGAAAUAAAGCCAGAAAAGCCAAAAAGCCCAUUUUUACGACCUGUUUUAGCAAGGAAGGGGAAACACCUUCCUGCCCAGGACGAGGGGGGCUCUUUGAAGCCCCCCAGGCUUCACCCAGGGCGGGGGGGCUGCAGGGUGCCUCAUCUGCAGAGCAGGAGGGAGCUCUGGUGGCUUUUCACGGGGGACAAAAUUGGCAAAUUUAGGGCAUAUUUUAGCUUUUCAAUGCAGCAAGGGCUUCACCCCUGCACGCAGGUAUCGCUGCUCACCGCAGAGGCCAGGGCAAGCUCCGAGCUGGGUGUUGGGCUCAUGGCUCUUCUCUGGGACACGUCCCUUCUCUGGGACACGUCCCCAAAAGGUGCCGGUUGCGUCACCCCCCCGGAGCCCCCAGCACGCCCCGUGUCCCCCCCCUGCAGAGCUGCAAAAGCAAACGGCCGAGCAAGAGCGAGCGCGUCCGUCUGUCCAGGGCUCCACUCCCUCCUGGGCUUCGGGGCAACCAUGGCCAGGGUCGGGGUGGCCACCGUCCUCUGCCUCGCUGUGCUGCUGCUGCCCACCGCCCCCAGCCCCUGCCCACCCCCACACCCCGGCAACACCACGGCAUCCAAGGUAGGAGAGACCUGGGUCCCCCGGGGAUGCCCCGCUCCUGCAGUGAGUUGGUGGGUGCUCUGCUCAGCCCCACUGUCCCCUGGGAAAGGGGGGAACCCUCCCUUGCCCACCCACACCCCCCCCGGCAUACCCACAGAGGCACCCUCACCAAAAAUGAGCCGGAAACAUUUUCUUUCCAAAAUGCCUCCAAUUAUGCAGUUUCCUCAUGAUCCCCCAGCAAGUCCUGGAGAUGACCUCGAAAUGAGGGGUGGGGGUUGGCUGGGUAUUUUUGGGGGCAAAUCCCCCGUGGCAGCACAGGGCUGUCCUGGCCCUGCCGCACCACGCAGGGGCACCCACAGCCAAUGCCAGAACUCUUUCCAAAUCCCCACAUUCAGCUAUUUUUUCUGCCCCCCCCCC